rnacentral:rRNA from 1 species
CCUACGGGUGGCAGCAGUGGGGAAUAUUGGGCAAUGGAGGAAACUCUGACCCAGCAACGCCGCGUGAAUGAUGACGGCCUUCGGAUUGUAAAGCUCUUUUCUUAGGGAAGAAGAGAGUGACGGUACCUUAGGAUUAAGCGUCGUCUAAAUACGUGCAACCAGCCACGGUAAUACGUAGGCGGCAAGCGUUAUCCGGAAUGACUGGGUGUAAAGGGUGCGUAGGUGGUUUGACAAGUUGGUAGCGUUACUCAGGGGCUCAACCUCGUCACUACUACCAAAACUGUCGGACUUGAGUGCAGGUGGGGUAAAUGGAAUUCGUGGUGUAGCGGUGGAACGCGUAGAUAUUAGGAGGAACACCAGUGGCGAAGGCAGUUUGCUGGACUGUAACUGACACUGAGGCACGAAAGUGUGGGGAGCAAACAGGAUUAGAUACCCCAGUAGUC